CGACGUGGAGAACCUGCCGUAUACUGGGGGAUAACACUUAGAAAUAGGUGCUAAUACCGCAUAAGCGCACAGCUUCGCAUGAAGCAGUGUGGAAAACAAAAAGCUAAAGCUUUUGGUGGUAUACGAUGGAUCCGCGUCUGAUUAGCUUGUUGCGGGUAAAGGCCCACCAAGGCGACGAUCAGUAGCCGGCCUGAGAGGGUGAACGGCCACAUUGGGACUGAGACACGGCCCAAACUCCUACGGGAGGCAGCAG
rnacentral:rRNA from 1 species